UCUUCUUAUGGUCUGCUCUGACCCAGCCUGCAGGAGCUCUUCACACCAGCUGCAGCCCCCAGCAUAAAUCAAGUCCGGGUUCCCGCCCAUGGGUUAUUGACUGAGUCCCAGCUGUCUUCCGGUGGCUCCCGGCAUGUGGCUAUAUUAAGAAGGUGAACCGUAACAUUAACACUUUUUUUUUAAGGCCCAAAAGAAAGAAAGACCCUGAAGAAACCAACACUGGAUCCAACCAAGGGUCAUAAAUCAAUGUCAGUAAAUUUAUAAACAGAUCAUGAAUUUGGCAACCACUCAGUGGUUUCAGGGGGGACAGAGACAGACCAACCAUUCAGUGCUGACAUCCUGGUGAUCACUGUGUGAGGGUAAGAGAAUCAUCAACUUCGGUGGGUGACAGGUGAGCCGAGCCCUGAGUUUGAACUGAAAUAUUGAAAACAUUUUCCCCAAAAGACUGUGACUAUUUCUUUAGGUUGCUAUGUUUAUUUUUUCUAAGUAUCCUACUCUUUGGAGCUCCAGUGAGUACCAUGAAACAGAGAACAGGAUUCUUCAAACACGGUCUCCCUCACAAUUGGAUGGUGCCCCAACCUGUGCUCAAGUCCACCGAGAGUUCAGGGGCCCACCUAUCCCACAUACGGGUCCUUGUGGUGGGGAUCGGCCUGGGAUUUCCUCACUGUUCUCCUCAGCAGCUCUAAUUCUUGGCGCUUCGGCACUGGCCUAGCCUAGGAGCCGUGGGGUGUGCCUGCCUCAGCACACAACUGAGAAGCUCACCGGUAAAGGCCAAAUAUGUCAGGUGCGGGCCCCUACCCUCAGCCCCUCGGCCACAUACUGCACAACUGUACUUUACAAAGUCAAGACCCACAGGCCCUUCCAGAGUGGUGCAUAAUAACAUUAGCCACACAGAUCUAGUACUUUCUAGAAGUUUCUCUCCCCUCAAUUCCGGAACACAUUUCUGAGUACGCACAUGCUGUUCUUUCAGCGAGCCUUUUAAAAACCGCACUGGCUCACUCUGGGGGUUCAUCUUCCUUCUGAGCUUGACAGAAUUUAGAGUCGCCUAGAAGACACACUUCUGGGGGUGUCUGAGGGUAUUUCCUGAGGAAGGAAGACCCGCACUAAUGUGAGUGCCACCAUCCAAUGGCCCUGGGUCCCAGAGCAAUAACAAGGGGACAGUGAUCUGGUGCCGGGACUCAUCUCUCUGCUUCCUGACUUCAGGGGCACUGUGACCAACUGCCUUGCCCUCCCACCAUGGCGUCUCUUCUGUGGUGGACCAUAUCCUUUCUAACUGUUUUCUUUUGUCGGUCGGUAUGUUGUCUCAGCAGCCAGAAAAGCAGCUACUAUACACAUUUCUGUAAAAGUCUCUCUAUUAUUCUGUAAUCUGUACCACUAGUUCCUGGGAGACCCUGGUCACUGCACCCUCUUCAGGAAGGAGGCUGCUGGGUUUGACAGUCACCUCGUUUGGGCAAAACUAUCCAUGGGGGAGGGGGAUCUCUCAGUCAACUGCGUCCUUCCAGGCCAGCACUAAACAGGGGUUUCAUUUCUUUGAAAACUAGGUAUUAAAUGUGUCAGGCAUAGGAAGUGAAAUGUAAUGAGGCCAGUUCCACACACAGUUCCAGGUGUGUAAAUCCCACUGAUGGAGAACAGAACAUAGCUGGAUCGGUACAAAUGGGGUCCUGGGUCUGGGGGAGGACAUGACACCCUUGGUGGGUCUUAGCUGCCAUUCUAACAGACACUCAGUCAAGACCGCUAAACCCAGAGGGGCCUGAAGUUCCUGGGGCAGGACUUGCUGGUUUUAAGCUGUAGUUGGUUUCGAACUCUCCGUCUUUGUUCCUUGGAGUUUUCAUGGGUGUGUUUGCUUGUGCCCUGACUCGCAGUAAACACUUGUGAUUUCUAUUUUGAGGUUAUGUUUCACUUGAACUGUGUUUGAGCCAAGUUCUCCGAGAAGGUAACUGGGGGGCUGGGUAAAGGAAACCACCAAGCCUACGUUAGGGAAAGAGGGUAGAGGCCCCAGCACUGAGACAGCAUUUCCAGCCUUUUUUCUUCUUUUAGGAUUUCUUUCUAGUUCUGUAUAUAUUGAGGGGAGGGGGGGGAUGGGUCUCAGGCCCAACUCCAGAACUACUGAAUCCAAAUCUGCAUUUUAACACAGCCCUAGGUGAUUUGUAGACACACUACAACAUGAGAGGCCCAGAUUAGGGAACAGGCAUUGGACAUGACGUUUUCUUUUACACAAAUUCAUCACCACACAUUAUCAUAAGAAUUGCAAGGAUUGGCUAAUACAGAGGCCCUCCUCCCUGGCUGGGAAUCAGAAUGAUGAAAGGAAGGUUUUUGCUUGCUUGCUUGUUUGUUUGUUUGUUUGUUUGUUUGUUUUAAUGGAUCUUUAUAUUUGUUUAGAGUUCCUGAACAGUUGUGCUAUGCUGGCUAAGGCUGAGGGGUUCUGGGCUAAAGUGUUGCAGGAAAUGACUGGAUUUCUGUGGGAGCAGGAGGAGGCCGUGGCUCUCUGGUCUCCUCCCUCAUCACAGGACAAGGACAACACAAAAAUGGAUCCCAUCAUCAUCCCAGGUCAUUUCAGUCAGGAAGCAUGAGGUACUGCUAGUGUGUGAAGUAAGCUAUUGAGGAAUAAGGAGAGUGGGAAGGCCAGUGCCCGUGGUGGUUCGUUCUGCUGGUCAAAGUGAACCUAGGAAGAGAGUUGAAGUGAGGGAGUACAUACAUCAGAUUGGUCUGUGAGCAUGCGUGGGGGGUUGUCUUCAUUAUAAGUUGACGGGGGAAGACCCAGUCCACUUUGGGCAGCACUAUUCCCUAGGCUGCCCUAAAAAAAGGGUCCCUGCACUACGUAGAGCAGGCUAGCUGGAUACUAGCCAUGCUUGCAUUUUACUGCUCUCUGGUUUGGUGGACAUGACGUGAAAACCGUGCUAUAACAGACUAUAAUCUGGAAUUAUAAGCUAAAAUAAAGCCUUUCUCUCUUAGGUUGCCUUUUUCUGGGUAUUUUAUCUCAGCAACAGAAACGAAACCAGGACAAUACCCAACAAGAAGUGACUGAUGCAGACCUGAGAGCUGGGAGUCAACGAGAGAGAAAGGACAGGCUGAACACAAUACGCACCCUAAAGGAGGAAAUUUGGGCUCCACGGUUUCAGUCCAUCACGGCAGGGAGGGCAAUUCUGCUCAUGGCUGCGGAAGUGUGUGGGGAUCAUUCACAUCAAGGCCAGGAAGGAAGCAGAGAACAAGGUCAGGACCACAGGAGAACAAAAUCGCGAGGACCCGCCCACAAGUCAGAGAUACUGACCUUCUCUGCCAGCCAGACCCCAGCUCCUGAAGGUAACACAGCUCCCGGAAUUUAGUUCCAGUAACUGGGGCACAAAACGUGAGCCUGGGCUGAGGAGGUCACUAACCCUCACCUUCAAAGUCUGAGGACCUAAGUGUGACCCCUAGACCAGUGUAGAAAAGCCAAGUGUGGUGGCAGACAUGGGGAGACAGAGACAAGAGGAUCCCCAUGGCCCUCUGAUCAAGUAGUCUACCAUGUCUUGAAAUCCAAG